AUUGAACGCUGGCGGCAUGCCUUACACAUGCAAGUCGAACGGCAGCACGGGAGCAAUCCUGGUGGCGAGUGGCGAACGGGUGAGUAAUACAUCGGAACGUGCCUAGUAGUGGGGGAUAACUACUCGAAAGAGUGGCUAAUACCGCAUGAGAUCUACGAAUGAAAGCAGGGGAUCGCAAGACCUUGUGCUACUAGAGCGGCCGAUGGCAGAUUAGGUAGUUGGUGGGAUAAAAGCUUACCAAGCCGACGAUCUGUAGCUGGUCUGAGAGGACGAUCAGCCACACUGGGACUGAGACACGGCCCAGACUCCUACGGGAGGCAGCAGUGGGGAAUUUUGGACAAUGGGCGAAAGCCUGAUCCAGCAAUGCCGCGUGCAGGAUGAAGGCCUUCGGGUUGUAAACUGCUUUUGUACGGAACGAAAAGCCCCGGGUUAAUACCCUGGGGUCAUGACGGUACCGUAAGAAUAAGCACCGGCUAACUUCGUGCCAGCCGCCGCAGUAA
rnacentral:rRNA from 1 species